rnacentral:rRNA from 1 species
CUAUCACUCCUACGGGAGGCAGCAGUGAGGAAUAUUGGUCAAUGGGCGCAAGCCUGAACCAGCCAUGCCGCGUGCAGGAUGACGGUCCUAUGGAUUGUAAACUGCUUUUGUACGGGAAGAAACACUCCUUCGUGAAGGAGCUUGACGGUACCGUAAGAAUAAGGAUCGGCUAACUCCGUGCCAGCAGCCGCGGUAAUACGUAGGGUGCGAGCGUUAUCCGGAAUUAUUGGGCGUAAAGAGCUCGUAGGCGGUUUGUCGCGUCUGUCGUGAAAGUCCGGGGCUUAACCCCGGAUCUGCGGUGGGUACGGGCAGACUAGAGUGCAGUAGGGGAGACUGGAAUUCCUGGUGUAGCGGUGGAAUGCGCAGAUAUCAGGAGGAACACCGAUGGCGAAGGCAGGUCUCUGGGCUGUAACUGACGCUGAGGAGCGAAAGCAUGGGGAGCGAACAGGAUUAGAUACCCUGGUAG